rnacentral:rRNA from 1 species
GUCGAGGGGUAGAGGGUGCUUGCACCCUUGAGACCGGCGCACGGGUGCGUAACGCGUAUGCAACCUACCUAUUGCAGGGGAAUAGCCCAGGGAAACUUGGAUUAAUGCCCCAUAGUCCAUAUUGAGAGCAUUUGAGAUAUGGUAAAGAUUUAUCGGCAAUAGAUGGGCAUGCGUCCCAUUAGCUAGUUGGUAUGGUAACGGCAUACCAAGGCUACGAUGGGUAGGGGCCCUGAGAGGGGGAUCCCCCACACUGGUACUGAGACACGGACCAGACUCCUACGGGAGGCAGCAGUGAGGAAUAUUGGACAAUGGGCGGGAGCCUGAUCCAGCCAUGCCGCGUGCAGGAAGACUGCCCUAUGGGUUGUAAACUGCUUUUUUACGGGAAGAAACACCCCCACGUGUGGGGGCUUGACGGUACCGUACGAAUAAGGACCGGCUAACUCCGUGCCAGCAGCCGCGGUAAUACGGAGGGUCCGAGCGUUAUCCGGAAUCAUUGGGUUUAAAGGGUCCGUAGGCGGGCGUCUAAGUCAGUGGUGAAAUCUCGCGGCUCAACCGUGAAAUUGCCAUUGAUACUGGUCGCCUUGAAUUAGUGUGAAGUGGCUAGAAUAUGUAGUGUAGCGGUGAAAUGCUUAGAUAUUACAUAGAAUACCGAUUGCGAAGGCAGGUCACUAACACUAUAUUGACGCUGAUGGACGAAAGCGUGGGGAGCGAACAGGAUUAGAUACCCUGGUAGUCCACGCCGUAAACGAUGGAUACUAGCUGUCCGGCCUACAUUGGUAGGCUGGGUGGCCAAGCGAAAGUGAUAAGUAUCCCACCUGGGGAGUACGUUCGCAAGAAUGAAACUCAAAGGAAUUGACGGGGGCCCGCACNAGCGGUGGAGCAUGUGGUUUAAUUCGAUGAUACGCGAGGAACCUUACCAGGGCUUAAAUGUAGUCUGACAGGGGUGGAAACACCCCCUUCUUCGGACAGACUGCAAGGUGCUGCAUGGUUGUCGUCAGCUCGUGCCGUGAGGUGUCAGGUUAAGUCCUAUAACGAGCGCAACCCCUGUCGUUAGUUGCCAGCAUGUAAAGAUGGGAACUCUAACGAGACUGCCGGUGCAAACCGUGAGGAAGGUGGGGAUGACGUCAAAUCAUCACGGCCCUUACGUCCUGGGCCACACACGUGCUACAAUGGCAGGUACAAUGGGCAGCCACGCCGCAAGGCGGAGCGAAUCCACAAAACCUGUCUCAGUUCGGAUCGGGGUCUGCAACUCGACCCCGUGAAGCUGGAAUCGCUAGUAAUCGGAUAUCAGCCAUGAUCCGGUGAAUACGUUCCCGGGCCUUGUACACACCGCCCGUCAAGCCAUGGAAGCUGGAAGCACCUGAAGUCCGUCACCGCGAGGAGC